ensembl:snRNA U6 U6 spliceosomal RNA
UUGCUUCACUUUGGCAGCAUACAUACUAAAAUUGGAAAGAUACAGAGAAGAUUAGCUUGUCCCUAAGCAAGGAUGACACGCAAAUUCAUGAAACAUUCCACAUUAAU